rfam:Capsicum annuum cultivar Zunla-1 chromosome 9, whole genome shotgun sequence
ACUUUGUGAUUGGGAUAUUGCAUGAGAUUCCUAUUAAAUCUCUCCCACACCCCAUAUUGAGGUUCUCUAUUCAAUUGAAAAAAAAUAGUGAUUUCAGCAUGCAAUU